rnacentral:rRNA from 1 species
UACGAGUGCCUCAAGCGUUAUCCGGAAUCAUUGGGCGUAAAGGAUGUGUAGGUGGUUGUGUUAGUCUCUUGUUAAAUUCUUCGGCUUAACCGGGGGCAUGCAAGGGAAACGGCACGACUCGAGGAUGCGAGGGGUCUGCGGAACUCAUAGUGUAGCGGUGAAAUGCGUUGAUAUUAUGGGGAACACCAAAAGCGAAGGCAGCAGACUGGAGCACUCCUGACACUGAAACAUGAAAGCGUGGGUCGCGAAUGGG